GAUGAACGCUGGCGGCGUGCUUAACACAUGCAAGUCGAACGGAAAGGCCCUGCUUUUGUUGGUUGCUCGAUUGGCGAACGGGGGAGUAACACGUGAGUGACCUGCCCUUGUCUGUGGGAUAACUUCAGGAAACUGGGGCGAAUACCGCAGAGGAGCUCCGGCUGCAUGGGGGGGUUUGGAAAGUUUAGGCGGUUGGGGAUGUACUCGCGGGUAACGCGCUUGUUUGUGGAGUAGUGGCUUACCAAGGCUUUGACGGGUAGCCGGCCUGAGAGGGGUAACGGCCACCAUGGGACUGAGAUAGGGACCAGAAGCGAACGGGAGGCAGCAGGGGGGAAUAUUGCAGAACGGGCGGAAGCCUGAUGCAGAGACGCCGGGUGCGGGAAGCUGGCCUUCGGGUUGUAAACAGAUUUCGAAGGAGCCGAAGAGUGCGUGACGGUAAUGGGUAAAGAAGCAACGGCUAACUACGUG
rnacentral:rRNA from 1 species